GACGAACGCUGGCGGCGUGCUUAACACAUGCAAGUCGAGCGGUAAGGCCCUUCGGGGUACACGAGCGGCGAACGGGUGAGUAACACGUGGGUGAUCUGCCUCGCACUCUGGGAUAAGCCUGGGAAACUGGGUCUAAUACCGGAUAUGACCACUGGUCGCAUGGUUGGUGGUGGAAAGAUUUAUCGGUGCGAGAUGAGCCCGCGGCCUAUCAGCUUGUUGGUGGGGUAAUGGCCUACCAAGGCGACGACGGGUAGCCGGCCUGAGAGGGCGACCGGCCACACUGGGACUGAGACACGGCCCAGACUCCUACGGGAGGCAGCAGUGGGGAAUAUUGCACAAUGGGCGAAAGCCUGAUGCAGCGACGCCGCGUGAGGGAUGACGGCCUUCGGGUUGUAAACCUCUUUCGACAGGGACGAAGCGCAAGUGACGGUACCUGUAGAAGAAGCACCGGCCAACUACGUG
rnacentral:rRNA from 1 species